rnacentral:rRNA from 1 species
GCAGGCUUAACACAUGCAAGUCGAGGGGUAACGAUGUAGCUUGCUACAGGCGACGACCGGCGCACGGGGGAGUAACGCGUAUGCAACCUACCUUAUACUGGGGGAUAGCCCAAAGAAAUUUGGAUUAAUACCGCAUAACAUAUUUGAAUCGCAUGUUUGAAUAAUUAAAGCUCCGGCGGUUAGAGAUGGGCAUGCGUGCUAUUAGAUAGUUGGUGAGGUAACGGCUUACCAAGUCUACGAUGGCUACGGGGUCUUAAAGGAUGGUCCCGCACACUGGUACUGAGACACGGACCAGACUCCUACGGGAGGCAGCAGUGAGGAAUAUUGGUCAAUGGACGCAAGUCUGAACCAGCCAUGCCGCGUGCAGGACGACGGCCCUACGGGUUGUAAACUGCUUUUAUACGGGAAGAAUGUUCUCUACGUGUAGAGAUUCGACGGUACCGUAUGAAUAAGCACCGGCUAACUCCGUGCCAGCAGCCGCGGUAAUACGGAGGGUGCAAGCGUUAUCCGGAUUUAUUGGGUUUAAAGGGUUCGCAGGCGGAAUAGUAAGUCAGGGGUGAAAGUUUGCGGCUCAACCGUAAAAUUGCCUUUGAUACUGUUAUUCUUGAGUACAUUUGAGGUAGGCGGAAUGUAGUGUGUAGCGGUGAAAUGCUUAGAUAUACUACAGAACACCAAUUGCGAAGGCAGCUUACUAAACUGUUACUGACGCUGAUGCACGAAAGCGUGGGGAUCGAACAGGAUUAGAUACCCUGGUAGUCCACGCCGUAAACGAUGAUUACUAGUUGUUUGCAAUACAUAGUAAGCGACAAAGCGAAAGCAUUAAGUAAUCCACCUGGGGAGUACGUUCGCAAGAAUGAAACUCAAAGGAAUUGACGGGGGGCCCGCACAAGCGGAGGAACAUGUGGUUUAAUUCGAUGAUACGCGAGGAACCUUACCUGGACUUAAAUGGGGAGUGACAGGCUUAGAGAUAGGCUUUUCUUCGGACACUCUUCAAGGUGCUGCAUGGUUGUCGUCAGCUCGUGCCGUGAGGUGUCGGGUUAAGUCCCAUAACGAGCGCAACCCACGUCUUUAGUUACCAGCACGUAAUGGUGGGCACUCUAGAGAGACUGCCGGUGUAAACCGCGAGGAAGGUGUGGAUGACGUCAAAUCAGCACGGCCCUUACGUCCAGGGCUACACACGUGUUACAAUGGCCGGUACAGAGGGCAGCUACUAUGUGAAUAGAUGCGAAUCUCCAAAACCGGUCUCAGUUCGGAUCGAAGUCUGCAACCCGACUUCGUGAAGCUGGAAUCGCUAGUAAUCGCGCAUCAGCCAUGGCGCGGUGAAUACGUUCCCGGGCCUUGUACACACCGCCCGUCAAACCAUGGAAGCCGGGGGUACCUG